rnacentral:misc_RNA from 1 species
GAAAUGCGAUAAGUAAUGUGAAUUGCAGAAUUCAGUGAAUCAUCGAAUCUUUGAACGCACAUUGCGCUCGCCAGUAUUCUGGCGAGCAUGCCUGUUCGAGCGUCAUUUCAACCAUCAAGCUCUGCUUGCGUUGGGGAUCCGCGGCUGCCCGCGGUCCCUCAAAAACAGUGGCGGGCUCGCUAGUCACACCGAGCGUAGUAACUCUACAUCGCUAUGGUCGUGCGGCGGGUUCAUGCCGUAAAACCCCCAAUUUCUAAGGUUGACCUCGGAUCAGGUAGGAAUACCCGCUGAACUUAAGC